AUAUGUGUGAGCUGACUAGGAGAACUGAGAAGUGAUGCCCAGAUGUCAGCUCUCAGCGCUCUGGGAGGAUCUCAAGUUUGAGCCCACCCUGGGCAACACAGAGACUUUUAGUGAAACUAUCUUCAAAUGAAUGAAUGAAUAAAUGCAAACUUAAAUUCAAAAAGGGCUGAGAGUGUGGAUCAAUGCGAAGGCCCUGGGUUCAAGCCCUGGGGAUGGGGGUGGUGAAGACAGGGGUGGGUUUGGGGAUGUGGCCAAGUGGUAGAGUUCUUGCCUAGCGUUCGGGAGCUCUGAGUUCAGUGUCCAGCACUGGAGGAAAAAAAAAAAAUAGAAGAAGAAAAGCAAAACGGAAGUGAUGGACAGUCCUGUGGUAAAGGCCAAGAGGCCCCGUGCCACAGCCACAAGGAGGUGGUGAUAGGGAGUACUGGUGAGCUCAUCAGACUGUGGUCAGGGUUCUUGGGUUGGAGGUCUGCCUGUCUCAAACUUUUGAAUCAUGUGACCUUGAACAAGUUCCUUCAGUCUUCCCAAGACCCUACUUCCUCUUUGUAUAAGAUGAGGCGAGGCUCACGGUGACAUCAAUACCGUACUCUACAGGGUUGCGGGCAGCGUGGGUGCAGGAUGAUGGCACACCUGUUGUGCAGACUGCAAAGGGCACCUGGUGUCUGACAAAACACGGACCCCUCCACGGGUGUUGGAUAAAUGCACCAACAAACCUGAAUGUGAGCUCCCCAGUAACACAACCCUUGCCAACAACUGAGGUCCACGUGCCAGAAAGUGAGCUACUGGAAUGUGAUGAAGGCAGAAUUAAUGAAAAUGGGAGCAAAAACGUAAGUGAACUGGGGGCAGUCUGGUCGAGGAAAGGAAACUGGCCGGGGACUAAAGUCAAAGAAGAGGAAAGGAAAUGGGCAAUGCUCUGGAUAUAGAAAUGUAUGCUGUUUCUGGGGACAUCUUCCCCAACAGAGGGAAACAAUGAAGAGAAGCAAAAUUGUAAUUUUCCUGAAUGGACGGCCUGGGUAAUUACAAAUAUCUUUAGUAUUGAGAUAUUAAUUUUAUUACAGUA
rnacentral:lncRNA from 1 species